UACGGGGGGAGCAAGCGUUGUUCGGAUUUACUGGGCGUAAAGGGCGCGUAGGCGGCCAGCACAAGUCAGUUGUGAAAUCUCCGAGCUUAACUCGGAAAGGUCAACUGAUACUGUGCGGCUAGAGUGCGGAAGGGGCAACUGGAAUUCUUGGUGUAGCGGUGAAAUGCGUAGAUAUCAAGAGGAACACCUGAGGCGAAGGCGGGUUGCUAGGCUGACACUGACGCUGAGGCGCGAAAGCUAGGGUAGCAAACGGG
rnacentral:rRNA from 1 species